CCAACAAAUAGUGCAGCAUUUAGUAGGCAUAUGGGCAAGAAGGUUCAGCUGCACUGUGGCUAUAAAAAAGUAUUCCUGAAGCAAACUGGAUAAGUACUUUAAAGCAAUGGAGGAAAAGGAGGAGAAGAUCUUGACAUUUCUUCAGUGAUCUCGGAUGAAGAAGAUACUUAGAUAUUAAGAGAUUCUAAGUUAAGAGACAUAAACCAGAUUUCAGCAGGCUGUAACUCUUCAAACAAGUCACAGAGCACGACCCUGAAUGGAUUAUUGCAUCUUGCACUGAAUGAAGCAUAUGGAGAGGAGGUGAGGCUGUUACUCUGUAUUGACUGAUGGAUUUUUCUUACAAUAUUUGCUUCACUGUAGAUGUUGAUGUCAAAUAGUGAAUCUGCCUUUCCUAAAGCACUGGUGUUGCUAUUUGCAUUACUUAGUUCCUACCUAAACUUUG
ensembl:lncRNA